GUGUUUGCUUCAGCAGCACAUACACUAUAAUUGAAAUGAUACAGAGAAGAUUAGCAUGGCCCCUGUGCAAGGAUGACAUUCAAAUUCGUGAAGGGUUCCAUAUUUAA